ensembl:lncRNA
AUGAUUGUAGUGAUGGUGGUGGUGAUGGUAGUGAUGAUAGUUGUCAUACACAAGUAAAUUCAGAUAAAGAUACAAAAGAAAAAGCGAUACAGAAAAAGAAUACACAUAAUAAUAUUUCUGCAUCUAACAAAACAGAAUAUGAGUCUAACAAUAAUAAAGAAAACUUAAAAGAAAAAAAUAAUAUUUUAUGUUAUAUGAAAAAUAAUACAGAUUUGAAUGAAGUAAUAGAUGCGAUAAAUGGCAUUAAUGAUGCAAGUUGUGAGAAUAAGGAAAUAAACAACCAUAAAAAUAGCUGUAAAAAUAGUUGUAAAAAUAGCUGUAAAAAUAGUUGUAAAAAUANNNNNNNNNNCUGUAAAAAUAGUUGUAAAAAUAGCUGUGAAGAUACCCAUGAAGAUAUAAAUAAAAAAAGCAGUAAUGAUACAUCUAUUAAGUAUGGUAAUAAAAAAUCAACAGAAACUAAUAAUAUAACACAAGAAUGUUUUGAAAAAUGUGACAAUAAAAAAAUGAGUAAAAUAAAAGAAGAAAUAAAUAAAAAUACAAAAGUAAAUGAAGAACCGGAUUCAAACAUAAAAUCAAAUAAUACCAGUUUAAAUAGGAGCAAAAAUAAAACUGAAAGCAAUGAAUUUUUAAUAAAACAAAAAGAAAUACUUUUGAAUAUGUUAAAACUGAAAUUGGUUAACAUAGAAAAGAAAGAAGAAAAGGAAAAAAACAUAUUAGACAAAAAUACAUUAGACAAAAAUACAUUAGACAAAAAUAUAUUAGACAAAAACAUAUUAGAACAAAACAUAUUAGAACAAAACAUAUUAGAACAAAACAUAUUAGACAAAAACAUAUUAGAACAAAAAAAUGCAUCUAAAAACUCAGAAAAUAGUUGUGAUAUAAAAUUAAAAAAUGUUAAUGAUUAUCCAAAUUCGUUUAAAUCUGAAUCCACAGAUGUAACUGAAAGAGAUAUAAAUAAAUAUAAUAUUCAUUCAGAUAUAAACUUUUUAAAUUCUAAUAUGUACAGUAAUACUAGUACAACCAAUACUGCUAUUGUAGAUAACAAGACCCCAACAAAUAUUACUAAACAAAUGAAUGUUGCUGCAUAUCCAAUACGUAUAGAAGAGUAUACACAAAUAAACGAAAUUAACAACACAUAUUAUUCUCACGCUAAUCCUCACAGUAAUCAUUACAUUAGUAACAUAGAUAUAAUUCAAAAGCCUGUCAAAGAAAAUGUGAUUGAUAAGUAUGAGAUAAAUUAUAAUAAAUAUGGGGAAAAAAAAAGAGAAGAAAAGGGAGAAAAAAAAGGUGAAAAAAAAGGUGAAAAAAAAGAAGAAAAAAAAGGAAAAAAAAACGAAAAAAAAAAUGGAAAAAAAAUAAGUAACAAAAAAACGAGAUUGUUAAAAAAGGAUGACCAAAGGGGUGAUAUCAAUAAUGACGAUACUGUGUCAAAAUUAAAAAAUAAAAAUUCGAAUGAUAAAAAUUCGAAUGAUAAAAAUUCGAAUGAUAAAAAUUCGAAUAAUCAAAACUCGAAUGAUCAAAACUCGAAUGAUCAAAACUCGAAUGAUCAAAACUCGAUUGAUAAAAACUUGAAAGAUUACAAUUCGAUUGAUGAUAACAUAAGUGGAAACAUUGCGAUUUAUUUAAAAGAUAUUUGUCAUAACUUGGUAAAAGAAAAAGAACAGAGCAACAUAUUAUCAAAAGAAAAAAAACAAUUGGAAAAAAAAAUAAAAGUAUUAAAUAAAAAUAAACAAAAAGACAAACAACAAAUAAAAGAAUUAAAAAAAAAAAUUAGUAAUAAUCUGAAAAUUUAUAAAAAGUAUUAUAUCAUGAAAAACAAAAUGAAAAUACUUAAACAAAGUAAAACAGAAUUACCAAAAGACGACCUGCAGCAACAAAACAAAUAUAUUGAAAACACAAUGGAGGACUUAUAUAAUCUCUUCUUUGACGUUUUUGGAGCAAAAAAUAUCUUAACAAAAAAGAUAGAAAAUUUAGCUGACGUGUACAUAAAAAAAGAAAAAAAAACAGAAAUUCAACUGAUGGCAAAAAAUAAGGAACUAGAUUUACUAAAAAAUGUGGAAGAAAUAGUCAAACAAAAGAAUGAAUAUUUAUCUGAACUCCAGAAAAAGAAUGAAAUUAUUAACAACUUAAAUAACAACCUAACUAAAAUAACAAAAAGUGUUUAUGAUAUGAAAAAAAACAUAUUAGAAAAUGAAAAUAAAUCAAAAAAUUUAUUGUCUGAGUUAUCAAAAAAAAAUACCUUAUUAAAAGAGUUGGAAGAGAAAAUUAGUCGAUUAGCAGAAGAAAAAGAGAAAGAAUUUAAAAAAGAAAAAACACAUUUAUUAGAAUUGCUAAGUGAUAAGGACGAAAAAUUAAAUAGCGUAAAACAGCACAAAGAAGAAAUAAAAAAAAUGGAAGAAAAAUUAAAAAGUUAUGUAGAUGAAAAUGUACAAAAAAAUAAAAAUAAAAAUUAUGAUAUAAUUGUAGAUAAGUUACAUGAAGAACAAAUAAAAAUGCAUUCGUUAUUAACAAAAAAGAACAAACAAUAAAUGAGAAAAAUAUUCAAAUUGACAAUUUACAAACUCAAUUACAAUCCUGGGCAGAUGAAGCUACUAAUUGGGUGAUCGUUGCAGAUAAGCACACGAAACUUAUAACCAAUCACAAUGCAUUAAAAGUAAGAAAUAAAUUAAAUAAAAUUUUAUAAAUAAAUAUUGGG